rnacentral:rRNA from 1 species
UAGGGAAUAUUGGGCAAUGGGCGAGANCCUGACCCAGCCAUGCCGCGUGCAGGACGAAGGCCCUCUGGGUUGUAAACUGCUUUUAUCGGGGAAGAAGAGCACUCUUGCGAGAGUGUGUGACGGUACCCGAGGAAUCAGCACCGGCUAACUCCGUNCCAGCAGCCGCGGUAAUACGGAGGGUGCAAGNGUUGUCCGGAUUUAUUGGGUUUAAAGGGUGCGUAGGUGGCCGUUUAAGUCCGCUUUGAAAGCUGGUCGCUCAACGAUCAGGGGUGGGUGGAUACUGGAUGGCUUGAAUGAUGUNGAGGUUACUGGAACGGGUCGUGUAGCGGUGAAAUGCAUAUAUAUGACCCAGAACUCCGAUUGCGAAGGCAGGUGGCUAGGCAUCGACUUGACACUGAGGCAACGAGAGC